rnacentral:lncRNA from 1 species
UUUGUAGGUGUUCACACCUUGUUUACCUUUUCUACUGCCUCUAAAUAUGGUCACCCCAGCCCUUCUCUCUAGCCCAUGGUCCUGACUGAAUAUUAGAGUCUCCUGGGAAAUACUGAAAAAUAUGACAUCUGGGCUCCCCAUAAGACCACUUAUAUCAAAAUCUUUAGGAGUAUGACCCAGCAUUAAUAUUUUUAAAAGCUACCCAGCUAAGUUUCAACACACUUCCUGCUUCCAGUGAUCAGAACCAUAUAGUAAAAGUUCUCUCAAUAUUACAUUUAUUUUGCCUCAAAUUUAUUUAGGUGUUGUCAUCUUUUUUUCUCUGUGAUCUUGGAGGAAAACUGUCCCAUCUUCUUUGGAAGAUAGUACCUCUAUGUCUACUCCUGAUUCCACAACCCAUGCCUCCAUCUGCAAACUUGCUAUAUUAUUACUAUUCUUUCUCAUUUUAUCUUCUCCCAUCCUUGGCUGAAAAACUGCUUUUCAUUAAGGAAAACUUCUCUUUACUUCCUCUGCAGGUAUCAGUUCUGUUUCUUCUUUAUCUUGACCAUUAAAUUUCUUCCUACAUUCUCACAUAUUGUUUUCAUAAUUCAUGUUUCAGUUGAGGCUUCAUGUCCAACUGCAGUGACACUGUUCACUCAAGACCACUGGUGACUCCCCAGGGUUCAGAUGCUGUGACUCAUUCCAGUCCUGGUUCACCCCAUUCUUUCUGCACUAUUUGACAGUGCCGCCCUUCUCGUCCUCCUGAGACUGUAUCCUAGCUCUCUCAUCUUAGGUGAAAAUGUUCCCCUUGCCUCCCUAUACCAGUCUCCCAAAGUUCACUCAUAUUUCAAAUCUCAUUUCAGACUUCUCAUGCAUGAAACUCUUAUGUUUUAGAAUUAACCUAUACUCAUAUUAACAGUAAUCCCUCCCUUUAUAAUUAAUCAUUUUAGGUAUUCUAAAUAUUGCCUUAGAAACACUUACAUCUCAUUUGGUAACAAAACUUUGAGGAAAAAAAUGCCAUAAAGCCAAGAGGUCUGGGAGAAGCAUUUGGAUGUGAAGAGUAAGGAAGGAGUAGGGGUCAAUGGUGUUUCCUAGGUGUCUAGCUUCAACAGAUGACCUUUGACAAGAAGCAUGUUAGGGGAGCUAGAGAUAAAAAUCAUUACAUUUUAUAGCAUGCUGUAUGAGAUAUAGCUGUGUACCAUUGGCAUGGACUCAUAAGAGUGACAAAAACAUAAAAGUUUUUGUUGUAGUUGGGGCCACGCAAGUAGGUCUAUUUCUCUAUUUAAAGCAUUCAAAGUAAGAAAAGGUCAAGGAGAAAAGUCUGCAAACCAGUAUUUGAGAAUCAGACAAAAGAAGAGAUUCCAACUUCUAUUUAGAUAAAACUCAUAUAAUGGAUAAAAUCAAAUGCUUUGAAAUAUUUGAUACCAUGUUGAUAGAUUACAACUUUCAUUAUAUGUAUCUUGUAUACAAAGCAGGGCACAGCAUCAUAAAAUGAAAUUAAAUCAAUCUAGCAGGAGCUGCAUUCCUCAGGGAUUCACUCUAGUGUCCCUACGACCACCCCAUCCCCAAGAAUCUUUGCCUUGUGGCUCUGCCUGUGAAAUUUGAAGUUUUCUAUUUCAUCCAAUGGAAGCUAGAAUUUUUAAAUAUUUGGUUCUGUCUCUUAGGCCCUUAAGCUCAAGGAUAGCAAGUACUAGGAGCAUGAAGCACCUGUUGAAAAUAUUACAUGUUUGCUGGAGAAUUCUUGCAAGGUAACAACAACAACAAUAACAACUGCUAUAGGGAAACUUGCAGAAGAGAUCAUGCGUUUCUGUAAAUACCUGUAACACUUCUUGCUACAAUGUGUUAUAUAAAAUAAGUAGAAACUCUUAAAAAUACAUAAGUCAUUUUUCAUUAUUAUCUUACAUCAUGCCAGGAACCCCAUCUACUCCUCUGUGUUCCUUGAGUGCACUCAGUUUCGUUUUCAGCAGAAGUUGUGUCAUACACUCACUGUGCAAAGCUGACAGUCCCUAACAUCAUUUGUUUUGAUGAGGGUUAAAGAAAGGGUAUUGUUGUUUCAUAAAAACAAUGUUGAAUAAAUUUAUAAAUAACUUUGUAAUGAUGAAUUGUUUAUACACUGCUGUUGAAUUACAUGCGGGCAAAACAUCAAUAAAAUUUCUAAAAAUUC